rnacentral:misc_RNA from 1 species
GGAAGGAUCAUUACCGAGUGUAGGGUUCCUAGCGAGCCCAACCUCCCACCCGUGUUUACUGUACCUUAGUUGCUUCGGCGGGCCCGCCAUUCAUGGCCGCCGGGGGCUCUCAGCCCCGGGCCCGCGCCCGCCGGAGACACCACGAACUCUGUCUGAUCUAGUGAAGUCUGAGUUGAUUGUAUCGCAAUCAGUUAAAACUUUCAACAAUGGAUCUCUUGGUUCCGGCAUCGAUGAAGAACGCAGCGAAAUGCGAUAACUAGUGUGAAUUGCAGAAUUCCGUGAAUCAUCGAGUCUUUGAACGCACAUUGCGCCCCCUGGUAUUCCGGGGGGCAUGCCUGUCCGAGCGUCAUUGCUGCCCAUCAAGCACGGCUUGUGUGUUGGGUCGUCGUCCCCUCUCCGGGGGGGACGGGCCCCAAAGGCAGCGGCGGCACCGCGUCCGAUCCUCGAGCGUAUGGGGCUUUGUCACCCGCUCUGUAGGCCCGGCCGGCGCUUGCCGAACGCAAAUCAAUCUUUUUCCAGGUUGACCUCGGAUCAGGUAGGGAUACCCGCUGAACUUAAGCAUAUCAAUAAGCGGAGGAAAAGAAACCAACCGGGAUUGCCUCAGUAACGGCGAGUGAAGCGGCAAGAGCUCAAAUUUGAAAGCUGGCUCCUUCGGGGUCCGCAUUGUAAUUUGCAGAGGAUGCUUCGGGUGCGGCCCCUGUCUAAGUGCCCUGGAACGGGCCGUCAGAGAGGGUGAGAAUCCCGUCUGGGAUGGGGUGUCCGCGCCCGUGUGAAGCUCCUUCGACGAGUCGAGUUGUUUGGGAAUGCAGCUCUAAAUGGGUGGUAAAUUUCAUCUAAAGCUAAAUACUGGCCGGAGACCGAUAGCGCACAAGUAGAGUGAUCGAAAGAUGAAAAGCACUUUGAAAAGAGAGUUAAAAAGCACGUGAAAUUGUUGAAAGGGAAGCGCUUGCGACCAGACUCGCCUCCAGGGUUCAGCCGGCAUUCGUGCCGGUGUACUUCCCUGGGGGCGGGCCAGCGUCGGUUUGGGCGGCCGGUCAAAGGCUCCCGGAAUGUAGUGCCCUCCGGGGCACCUUAUAGCCGGGAGUGCAAUGCGGCCAGCCUGGACCGAGGAACGCGCUUCGGCACGGACGCUGGCAUAAUGGUCGUAAACGACCCGUCUUGAAACACGGACCAAGGAGUCUAACAUCUACGCGAGUGUUCGGGUGUCAAACCCGUCCGCGCAGUGAAAGCGAACGGAGGUGGGAGCCCCCCGGGGCGCACCAUCGACCGAUCCUGAUGUCUUCGGAUGGAUUUGAGUAAGAGCGUAAAUGUGGGGACCCGAAAGAUGGUGAACUAUGCCUGAAUAGGGCGAAGCCAGAGGAAACUCUGGUGGAGGCUCGCAGCGGUUCUGACGUGCAAAUCGAUCGUCAAAUUUGGGUAUAGGGGCGAAAGACUAAUCGAACCAUCUAGUAGCUGGUUCCUGC